UACGUAGGGUGCGAGCGUUGUCCGGAAUUAUUGGGCGUAAAGAGCUCGUAGGCGGUGUGUCACGUCGGCCGUGAAAACCUGCAGCUUAACUGUGGGCGUGCGGUCGAUACGGGCAUCACUGGAGUUCGGCAGGGGAGACUGGAAUUCCUGGUGUAGCGGUGAAAUGCGCAGAUAUCAGGAGGAACACCGGUGGCGAAGGCGGUUCUCUGGGAAUUACCUGACGCUGAGGAGCGAAAGUGUGGGGAGCGAACAGG
rnacentral:rRNA from 1 species